CCAUGCAGCGUUUGUCCAAGCUCUUGAGUCUGCUGUCAACUAUAUUUCUGUUUGUCGUCUUCCUCAUGUUUAUCAAUCUAAGUGUUAUACAGACUCACAAGCAAACAGAAGUGGAGGAAAUUGUCCUGACAGAAGACGACUUUCCUUUACAGAAUCAGUAUAUAGGAGCGGAUCCGGAGGAGCUAGUGAAAACUAUAGAAAAUGAAGAAAAGAUAUUUAAAGAAAUCAGGAAUAUUCCAGA